rnacentral:rRNA from 1 species
CAGCAGCCGCGGUAAUACGGAGGGGGCUAGCGUUGUUCGGAAUUACUGGGCGUAAAGCGCACGUAGGCGGCUUGGUAAGUUAGAGGUGAAAGCCCGGAGCUCAACUCCGGAAUUGCCUUUAAGACUGCCGAGCUAGCAGGUGAGAGAGGUAAGUGGAAUUCCGAGUGUAGAGGUGAAAUUCGUAGAUAUUCGGAAGAACACCAGUGGCGAAGGCGGCUUACUGGCUCAUACUGGACGCUGAGGUGCGAAAGCGUGGGGAGCAAACAGGAUUAGAUACCCGCGUAGUCCCUGUCUUUAUACA